UUCCAAGUGUAUUUGUCUGCCCUGGC
rnacentral:piRNA from 1 species